CACGUGAUAGCUUUUCCAGUUGGAGAGGUGGGUGCAUGUGAUUAGGGUUUCGCUCUGCUGGCUGCCGCGUGGAGUCGUGAAAAUCCUACAUAUUGCCCACGCUGCCAUGGCUCUUAGCACAGUCACGCACUACUGUCGUCGGUGGGUGUGACGGAGUUGGGAGCUGGCGGGGAGGCGGUGGACUCUCGGAUAGCGUCGCAUCGGGGACUGAUGCGACGAUCUCCGUACAUCAUGCGGGGCCACCGUGGUCUGAGUGGUCGUAGCGAGUGGAAUUCGGUUUGGUGCGGGUUGUGAGUGUGGGGUUGAGGGUCGAGUUGUGCGGCCAAGGAUGUUUACCUCUACGGGCGUUGGUUGUGGGCGGUGCUGGGACCUUGUUUGACAAGGAGAACCUCCUCAGCAUGCCCUCUGCAUUUCUGUAACGCUACAAUGUAAACUGAGUCUUUCCAGUGGGUGGUACGGCGUUUCAAGUGUAGAGGUUUUUGUUUGUUCUGGUCUGAUCGCAGUGUGGUGAGAUGGCGAGGCCGUUGAUGAGGAUGAUACUCAGAGUUUGUGAUUUCUGUGAUGCUCAAGCUAUCAUCAUCUUACGACCGAGGCUCGAUGUGUGGGGGGGUGGGGGAGGAGGCAGGCUGGAUGAAGAUAGAAAACAUAGACCUGUUCUGAACGUGGUGUGUUGAAUAAACAUGCACUACCAACCGACAGUCUUGUUGGGAGACUUUUUGUGGGGUAGCUGGUUUGUGAGCAGUAGAGACGACGGGAGCAGUGUCCUUGGCGGGGCGCUGGUCCAGCAUUGCGGAGCGGCCGUGGCAUCCAUGCGAUGUCGUUGUGGCCGUAGAGUCCUUUUUUAACGUCGAAGAUCGACUCGUUCACGGGAGGAAGCCUGAGUGCAUUCGUGUGCAGAGGAUUCGCCAGUGAGCGCGAGGUCGCAUAUUCCAUUGCCCUGGGGAGCAGCGUCGCUGCAGUUACUCUGUGGGACAGACCAUGCGACCUGCAGCGAGGAUUUUGGUCUUGUAGCGUGGGGGGCGUGCGUAGUGAGGAGGUCGAUGAUUACAACCGUUCAGAAUACCAUAUUUCGGAUCGUAGGCACUUUCGGGUGGUGACGACACCGUUUUGCAUGAUGGCCUCGUGGACCGAAAGGGGUGUAAGGGGUUGGGUGGGGGAGAGUCAGUGCGUCCUGUACGAGAAGCAGAGGUCCGUGACGGCGCCCAUGAGCUGAUCUCUCGUCAGUUGCAGGGGGCGCUUUCGGGCUGCAUCAGAUCUCGAGGCUUUGGCGUUGACGAGCUAGGGGGAUUGCGGAGUUGGUGAUGCGAAUUAUUCACAAAUUGAUAGCACACGUUGAACUUGUGGAGGUAGCCUACAUCACUAAUCGGCACCGAUUUUGCGAUUUUUGUGUAUUCGGUUGAUCACGUGCUUGGUUCUAUGGAAUUUUUAAUCGGAGUGAAUUGACGUCUGUUGAAAAGCGGGGGGCAGCUACAUGAUGUGGUUUGAGAUAUAUACUUGUGUGUUUGAUAUUGGUAAAGGUUGAGCUAGGGAUAAUGUGUUCUCGAUGUUUAUUUUAUUGACCUAAUGUGCUAUCUGUUGAUUCGAUUGUUUGGGUAUAUUUUUAUUUUUCUUACUCUAUGGUAUUAUUACUCUUGAUGCAAUAAUUAGAAAAGUAUUUACAUGGCAUUCUGAUAUGUGCGACUGAAAAUGACAGGAUGGUAGAUUUAGCAUUUUUGUGGAUGUUAGAGUUAAUCCUUCGAUUUGUUAGUUGGGCAUAAAAAUGUCUUCAUAAUGAUAAUAUAUCUUUCAUUGUUUUGAUUUUGUUUUUCUAGUUUCAGUUGUUGAAAUGUGUUUUUUCUCAAAGGCUCCAUUGUCUUCUAUAUAUUGUAGUAUUAUGCUACUUUGAGAUAGUGAAAAAUUAUCAACAUAGCUUUUAGUGUGCCAUGGCAAAGUACGUAUAUCUUGUUUUAACUAUUUUAGGAAUAGUUUAGAUUACUAUGAUUGAUAAAAUAAUCGUCAUGUUGGAACCUUGUUUUAAAGAGCUUCUAGGUAUAUUAUUUCUUUUUCGUUUUUAA